CUUAUAUUCCCUCCGUCCAAAAAUACUUGUCGGAGAAAUGAAUGUACAUAGACGUAUUUUAGUUCUAGAUACACCUAUUUUUAUCCAUUUUUCCAACAAGUAUUUCCGGACGAAGGAAGUACUUU
rfam:Triticum aestivum genome assembly, contig: Triticum_aestivum_CS42_TGACv1_scaffold_578153_7BL